AGAGUUUGAUCCUGGCUCAGAACGAACGCUGGCGGCAUGCCUAACACAUGCAAGUCGAACGAAGCCUUCGGGCUUAGUGGCGCACGGGUGCGUAACGCGUGGGAAUCUGCCCUUAGGUACGGAAUAACUCAGGGAAACUUGAGCUAAUACCGUAUGAUGUCUUCGGACCAAAGAUUUAUCGCCUAGGGAUGAGCCCGCGUGAGAUUAGGUAGUUGGUGGGGUAAUGGCCUACCAAGCCUACGAUCUCUAGCUGGUCUGAGAGGAUGAUCAGCCACACUGGAACUGAGACACGGUCCAGACUCCUACGGGAGGCAGCAGUGGGGAAUAUUGGGCAAUGGAGGAAACUCUGACCCAGCCAUGCCGCGUGAAUGAUGAAGGCCUUAGGGUUGUAAAGUUCUUUCGCCGAUGAAGAUAAUGACGGUAGUCGGAGAAGAAGCCCCGGCUAACUUCGUGCCAGCAGCCGCGGUAAUACGAAGGGGGCUAGCGUUGUUCGGAAUUACUGGGCGUAAAGCGAGCGUAGGUUGCUCGAUAAGUCAGUGGUGAAAGCCCAGAGCUCAACUCUGGAACUGCCAUUGAAACUGUCGAGCUGGAAUCUCAGAGGGGGUAGCGGAAUUCCAAAUGUAGGGGUGAAAUCCGUAGAUAUUUGGAGGAACACCGGUGGCGAAGGCGGCUACCUGGAUGAGUAUUGACACUGAGGCUCGAAAGCGUGGGGAUCAAACAGGAUUAGAUACCCUGGUAGUCC
rnacentral:rRNA from 1 species